rnacentral:lncRNA from 1 species
UCAACUCGGACGGUUUGACCACAGUCGUCACACUUUGCAGCCUUGCACUUGAUCACAAAUAAGAUUUGAGUACCAAUCAUUGAUGAGACAACUUCCUUUUUCUGAUCAGGAUUUUUACCAAAUCUCCCAGUGGUUGCAUCACUUUUAAGAUUUUCUAUCACUUGAUAUCCUCCAUGAAUUCAGAUACCUUUCAUGUUCACUUGCCCUUUGCAAGUAACUCGCAUGUCU